AUUGAACGCUGGCGGCAGGCCUAACACAUGCAAGUCGAGCGGUUGACGGGAGCUUGCUCCCUGAUUCAGCGGCGGACGGGUGAGUAAUGCCUAGGAAUCUGCCUAUUAGUGGGGGACAACGUUUCGAAAGGAACGCUAAUACCGCAUACGUCCUACGGAGAAAGCAGGGGACCUUCGGGCCUUGCGCUAAUAGAUGAGCCUAGGUCGGAUUAGCUUGUUGGUGAGGUAAUGGCUCACCAAGGCGACGAUCCGUAACUGGUCUGAGAGGAUGAUCAGUCACACUGGAACUGAGACACGGUCCAGACUCCUACGGGAGGCAGCAGUGGGGAAUAUUGGACAAUGGGCGAAAGCCUGAUCCAGCCAUGCCGCGUGUGUGAAGAAGGUCUUCGGAUUGUAAAGCACUUUAAGUUGGGAGGAAGGGUUGUAGAUUAAUACUCUGCAAUUUUGACGUUACCGACAGAAUAAGCACCGGCUAACUCUGUGCCAGCCGCCGCAUAACAC
rnacentral:rRNA from 1 species